AGAGCAUCGGUGAUGUUACAUCCAUCUAAACUCAUCCUUGCACUAUGAGGUCACCGGUGAAGAAAAAAUUGGGGGAAUAUGUAGUCUGAGAUGCUC
rfam:Oryza rufipogon genomic scaffold, chr05